GAUCUUCAUCCCCAUUUCGGUCACCAAGUUCCUAAAAGCCUUGGACUUUGUGUUAAUGAGGUCACUUUUGGAAAGUUCUUAGGUAGCCUAGGGAUAGGAGCUGGUUGCUAAGGGAAACUCAGAUGAUCAGAACUUUCAACCUCACCCUCCAACUUGGGGUAGGGGAGGAGCCAAAGGUUGAGUUCAAUCUGGCCAAUGAGAUAAUCAACAUGAUUUCUAAUGAAGCUACUGUAAAACCCCAAAAGGACAAGCUUUGGAGAGUCUAUUUUACACAUCUCAUCUGAUUGUUACUGAAUUAUGUCCUUUUACAAUAGACAGGUAAUGUCAGGAGUAAGAUCUUUCUCUAAGUUCUGUGACAAGCUCUGGCAAAUUAAUCAAACCCAGGAAGACGUCAUGAAAACACCCAAUGUGUAGCUGGUUGGUCAGAAGUGCAGAUGAAAACCUAGGCUUGCAAUCGGCAUCUGAUGUGGGUAGCAACCUUGCAGAACUGAACUCUUAACCAGUGGGAGCCGACACUAUCUCUGGGUAAAUAGUGUCAAAACUGAGUUGAAUUGUAGGACACUCAGCUGAUGUGGGAGAAUCUCUUGGUGGUGUGGGGAAAAAACCAACAGACCUGUCAUGCAUCAUCUCAUUAAAGUUUGUCAUCAUGGACCCAAAUCACAGAUGAGAACACUGAGACACAGAGAGCUGAAGACCUUUGCCUGAUGUCCCAUGAGUCAUGAAGGGAGGCUGAUGGGUAAGGAAGAUAGUGGAAAAGCCUUUUGGGCAAGGAUUCAGUGGAAAUUCCAUGAAAGAUGCACCAAGCUUUUGCAUCAAUUUUUAUUUGAACAUAGGAUUCUGUAACUUAUAAGGACACAAGAUACCCAAAAUUGGGAGAAUUAAAGCUGAACAUACUAACUUGAAAAAUGCAACCCAAAGAUUAAUGGGAACAUAAAGACAAUCACAGAUGAGAAUGUUCAAAAGGUGCUUUCAAAUGGUCUAAACAUGUAAGAAAUUCAACCCCACUGCAGUUACCCCAAAUUGUUUCACCCACAAACACCAUGCAGUUGGUACCCAGAAAUUCCAUCACACUGUAGUACCAACAGUGUGGGUAUGAACUUGCUGGUGGGGCAGGGGGAGGGUGGGGGAAGAGGCAAGAAGGUGUCAGGAAGAGAAAGUAUAAUUUAACUGGACAAAGCUGACACCCUGGAGUGAGUUCUUUGAAGAAGAUGCCAAACCAAAAUCCUGCUGCGUUAAAACGAUGGCCACCAUAUGCAAAAUGGCCUUUGAACUGGGAGGGUCACACUUCCUCCUUUGCCUUCUCCAGUGGGGAAACCAUUCAUAUACAUUCCCUGAGCCAGAUGCAGAGUUCUCCACUGAAGCUGCUCCUGUCCCUCUCGCAUCUUAAGAGAACCACUGUGACGCUGUGUGCUACCCUGUAUGAUGACCACUUGGACGUUUCUCUUCCAUUCUGAAUGGUUGUGGCCUCAGGACAAAAUAGAGCCUUGUUUAUCUCCUCACCUAGCCAAGGGCUGGGUAUAUGUACAGGUGUUCUGCAGCUAUCAAAUAAAAAUUAAAAUCAAGGA
ensembl:lncRNA